AUUAGAAGACAAUUUCCAUAUCCACUCGUUCAUCUCUUUACUGAUAAGCCCUAAAAAAGUUCAUCCCAUCCCAGACUUCAAAUCUUGGUUUUCUUCUUCGUUUCCUUCUCCCCCGCCCUUCAUUCCUUCACCGUCGCAACCCACUACUCAAACCCUUCCAACCCAGAACUCAAACACUUCAAUUCCUUCACCGUCGCAACGAUCUUCUUCUUCAUCGCAACAAUCAUCUUCUUGACUGUAAACAAUCCUCUUCUUUUCUAUUCGAAUGCAAAUUUGGUGGGUACACAUUCAUAUAUGUUAGGUUCGAUAGCAGUCGAGGUUCUUCCAUUAGGUUACAUAACCUAUUGAACUGGAACCACCGUGACGGAGUUCGAAUGGUCACCAGAACCACCGUGACGGAGUUCGAAUGGCUACAUCGUCGAACCCUUCAAGUUUCUCGGAUAUCCAUGUGGAUGAAUUUUACUUGAAGGGUACCUUGGAUUUGGGGUCGUUGGCUCAAAUGAUGGCUUCUGACAAAAGGUUAGGAAAUAAAAACCAAGCUGGCAUGGGUGAACCCCUAUCUCAAUACGAAUCUCUUCAGGCACGGAUAAAGGCCAUGUCAUCUUCAAAUUCACCUCAAAAUCUCAGUCUGAAUGUGUCUGAUAUUGGUCUCAAUUCAUCCAUUCCAGAAGGGGUUGCUGGAAGCAUAAAGCGGUCUAUUUUGUCUGAGGGAGGUGUAUUGCAGGUUUAUUAAGUAAAGGUUUUGGAAAGAGGUGACACUUACGAGAUCAUUGAGCGAAUCUUACCCAAGAAGCAAAAGGUAAAGAAAGAUCCUGCAUCAAUUAAGAAGGAGGAAAUGGAUAAAAUUGGAAAGAUUUGGUUAAACAUUGUAAGAAGAGACUUACCAAAGCAUCAUAGGAAUUUUACUACUCUUCAUCGAAAGCAACUCAUUGAUGCUAAGAGGUGCUCAGAGUUCUGUUAAAGAGA